rnacentral:rRNA from 4 species
CCUGACGACCAUAGCGAGUGGGAACCACCUGAUUCCAUGCCGAACUCAGAAGUGAAACCACUCAGCGCCGAUGGUAGUGUGGGGUUUCCCCAUGUGAGAGUAGGUCAUCGUCAGGC